rnacentral:rRNA from 1 species
UACGGAGGGGGCUAGCGUUGUUCGGAAUUACUGGGCGUAAAGCGCACGUAGGCGGCUUUGUAAGUUAGAGGUGAAAGCCCAGGGCUUAACCCUGGAAUUGCCUUUAAGACUGCAUCGCUAGAAUCGUGGAGAGGUGAGUGGAAUUCCGAGUUGAUGAAGGUAGUAAUCGCAGAUAUCAGGAAGAACACCUAUGGCGAAGGCAGCUCUCUGGGACGGUACUGACGCUGGAGACGCGAAAGCGUGGGGAGCGAACAGG